rnacentral:rRNA from 1 species
UACAGAGGUCUCGAGCGUUAGGCGGAAUCACUGGGCUUAAAGCGUGUGUAGGCGGAUCGGUAAGUACCUUGUGAAAUCCCACAGCUUAACUGUGGAACUGCUUGGUAUACUGCCAGUCUUGAGCCACUUAGGGCUACCGGAACAAAUGGUGGAGCAGUGAAAUGCGUAGAUAUCAUUUGGAACGCCAAUGGUGAAAACAGGUAGCUGGGAGUGUGCUGACGCUGAGACACGAAAGCCAGGGGAGCAAACGGG